rnacentral:rRNA from 1 species
GUCCACGCCGUAAACGAUGGUCACUAACGAUGUGGGGAUUCGACCCUCUGCGUCGUAAAGCUAACGCGUUAAGUGACCCGCCUGGGGAGUACGAGCGCAAGCUUAAAACUCAAAGGAAUUGACGGGGACCCGCACAAGCAGUGGAUCAUGGGGUUUAAUUCGACGAUAAGCGAAGAACCUUACCGAGGCUUGACAUCCCAGGAAGGCCGCCGAAAGGUGGCUGUGCCUUCGGGAACCUGGUGACAGGUGCUGCAUGGCCGUCGU